GACGAACGCUGGCGGCGUGCCUAAUACAUGCAAGUCGAGCGCUGAAGGUUGCUACUUGUCCCAAUUGGUUGAGCAGCAAACGGGUGAGUAACGCGUGGGGCCUCUGCCUUUGAGCGGGGGACAACAGUUUGAAACGAAUGCUCAUACCGCAUAAAAACUUUAAACACAAGGUUUAAGUUUGAAAGAUGCAAUUGCAUCACGCAAAGAUGAUCUCGCGUUUUAUUAGCUAGGUGGGGAGGUAAAGGCCCACCAAGGGGAUGUUACAUAGCCGACCUGAGAGGGUGAGCGGCCAACUUGGGAAUGAAGAACGGCCCAAAACACUACGGGAGGCAGCAGGAGGGGAUCUUUGGCAAUGGACGAAAGUCUGGCCGAGGAACGCCGGGGGAGUGAAGAAGGUUUUCGGAUCGUAAAACUCUGUUGGUAGAGAAGAAUGUUGGUGAGAGUGGAAAGCUCAUCUAGUGACGGUACCUAACCAGAAAGCAACGGCUAACUACGUG
rnacentral:rRNA from 1 species